CCUACGGGUGGCAGCAGUGGGGAAUAUUGCACAAUGGGGGAACCCCUGAUGCAGCGACGCCGCGUGAGUGAAGAAGUAUUUCGGUAUGUAAAGCUCUAUCAGCAGGGAAGAAAAUGACGGUACCUGAUUAAGAAGCCCCGGCUAACUACGUGCCAGCAGCCGCGGUAAUACGUAGGGGGCAAGCGUUAUCCGGAUUUACUGGGGGGAAAGGGAGCGUAGACGGUGAUGCAAGUCAGAAGUGAAAGCCCGGGGCUCAACUCCGGGACUGCCGUUGAAACUGUGUGUCCGGAGUGCAGGAGAGGUAUGCGGAAUGCGUGGUGUAGCGGUGAAAUGCGUAGAUAUCAGGAGGAACACCAGUGGCGAAGGCAGCUUACUGGACUGUAACUGACGUUGAGGCUCGAAAGCGUGGGGAGUAAACAGGAUUAGAUACCCGAGUAGUC
rnacentral:rRNA from 1 species